rnacentral:rRNA from 1 species
AACGAACGCUGGCGGCAGGCCUAACACACGCAAGUCGAACGCACCGCAAGGUGAGUGGCGCACGGGUGAGUAACACGUGGGAAUGUACCCUUUGGUUCGGAAUAACGUUUGGAAACGAACGCUAAUACCGGAUGAGCCCUGCGGGGGAAAGAUUUAUCGCCAAAGGAGCAGCCCGCGUCUGAUUAGGUAGUUGGUGGGGUAGAGGCCUACCAAGCCGACGAUCAGUAGCUGGUCUGAGAGGAUGAUCAGCCACACUGGGACUGAGACACGGCCCAGACUCCUACGGGAGGCAGCAGUGGGGAAUAUUGGACAAUGGGCGCAAGCCUGAUCCAGCCAUGCCGCGUGAGUGAUGAAGGCCUUCGGGUUGUAAAGCUCUUUCGCACACGACGAUGAUGACGGUAGUGUGAGAAGAAGCCCCGGCUAACUUCGUGCCAGCCGCCGCGGUAACAC